UACGGAGGGGGCUAGCGUUGCUCGGAAUUACUGGGCGUAAAGCGCACGUAGGCGGCUUUGUAAGUUAGAGGUGAAAGCCCAGGGCUUAACCCUGGAAUUGCCUUUAAGACUGCAUCGCUAGAAUUGUGGAGAGGUAAGUGGAAUUCCGAGUGUAGAGGUGAAAUUCGUAGAUAUUCGGAAGAACACCAGUGGCGAAGGCGACUUACUGGACACAUAUUGACGCUGAGGUGCGAAAGCGUGGGGAGCAAACAGG
rnacentral:rRNA from 1 species